GCGUCGUUUGAAAGGACAGCAGGUUAGCACUCCCCUUGACAAGAAUGGAACAAAUCUGGGAAGGAUCAACUCACAUUAUGAGCUAACACCCGAAUUUA